AUGACGAGAGUGAAGAAUAGUUACUAUGUACUUCUAGGAGAACCUGAACCCAGCGCACCGUGUCGAAACAACAUUGGGAAGGUAAUGUUCCUAAUAGCUGUGGCCAGGCCUCGAUAUAACAAUGAGGGGGAUCUAACAUUCAAUGGGAAGAUCGUCAUUUGGGCAUUCAUCAAAGAGAUUGAGGCGAUGCGUACAAGUCAGAACAGAGCAAAGGGAACAAAAGUGUUGACAUCAGUGGAAGUAAACAGGCCUGUGUGCAAAGAUUAUCUCAUCAAUAUGGUUAUCCCAGCAAUUCAGGAUAAGUGGCCUGACGAAGAUGAGGGAGCAACAAUAUACAUCUAA
rnacentral:rRNA from 1 species